GACGAACGCUGGCGGCGUGCUUAACACAUGCAAGUCGAGCGGUAAGGCUCCUUCGGGAGUACACGAGCGGCGAACGGGUGAGUAACACGUGAGUAAUCUGCCCUUCACUUCGGGAUAACCACCGGAAACGGUGGCUAAUACCGAAUACGACCAGUCUUCGCAUGAGGUGCUGGUGGAAAGUCUUUUCGGUGAAGGAUGUGCUCGCGGCCUAUCAGCUUGUUGGUGGGGUAAUGGCCUACCAAGGCUUCGACGGGUAGCCGGCCUGAGAGGGUGACCGGCCACACUGGGACUGAGACACGGCCCAGACUCCUACGGGAGGCAGCAGUGGGGAGUAUUGGACAAUGGGCGAAAGCCUGAUCCAGCAACGCCGCGUGAGGGAUGACGGCCUUAGGGUUGUAAACCUCUUUCAGUACCGACGAAGCGCCCUGUCGGGUGGUGACGGUAGGUACAGAAGAAGGACCGGCCAACUACGUG
rnacentral:rRNA from 1 species